AAUUUACAGGAAUACUCAUAAUAAACAUUGCUAAAAGAUACAACUGUUAUGCAUGGAAUUUUAGAUGCACUUCUCGAGAUGAUAGGAACACUGGACAAUUUUCAGCAACUUGCAACCAUGAAAUACAGUUAUAAACAAGGUCUAAAACAUGUUUGAUGCACUCUGUAUGUAACAUUUUUUGCAGUACUGUUUAAAUGAGAUAAUAGAAACACUGUGGACAAUUUUCAGCAAGUUGCAACCAUGAAAUACAGUUAUAAACAGUUUUCUAUAAACAAGGUCUAAAACAUGUUUGAUGCACUCUGUUAGUAAAAAUAUUUGCAGUACUGUUUAAACUAGAUGAUAGGAACACUGUGGACAAUUUUCAGCAACUUGCAACCAUGAAAUACAGUUAUAAACAGUUUUCCAUAAACAACGUCUAAAACAUGUUUGAUGCACUCCGUAAGAAUUUAUUUUAGAUACUGUUUGUCUGAACCCUUGUCUAUGUGUAAACUUUUAUGUCACAGGUAGCUUUGAUUUACCCAAUCGGUCAUUGGGGGAUACUUGGUCUGAAGCCCAAAGUCACUGUAGGGCUAAAUAUUCCAAUCUGGUGGAGAUUGAAAGCUUUGCAGAACUCAAAUGUACAAGAAAAGGGCGAUCUGUUUCGAUUGAACACUUCCGUGACACCUGGGAAUGGGCUGAUGGGAAACCUCGGGAUUCCGUUAUUGGAAUGAUCUGGAGCUGAAGUUUAUCUGAAUAGAUCAACAUUAUCCUGAAAAGAGAUGGAAUGACAGAAGCUGCAUGUCACCAACUUAUUUCAUUUGUGUUGCUGGUAAAUAACUUUUGAAAGUGAUCUUUUAAAAUGAUUACCUACCUUUCAUUUCAGGUAAUAUUUUACAAAUAUAUUGCCUCAGACGCCUCAAUUGAUAAUAUACAGAACCAAAAAGUUGUGCAUUCAUAUUUGACAUAAUAUACAAGUCCAAAAUGAUUGGUACCCUUUAUAAAGAUAAGAAAUAAUACAAAUAGUGAGCUAUAUUAUAUAUUGUAUACAAUUUAGCUCAUCUUUAUCAAGGGUGUCAAUUAUUUUGGACCUGACAGUAACUAUGUGUUAGGUGAAAUACUACAGUAUCAUAGACCACUGCCCCAAAAAAUCAUAUUUCUGUUUUUCAGCAGAUGGCUGUUACAAUCUCAGUAGUAUUACAAAGACAUGGUACGAAGCCAAAGACUUAUGCACGUUAGUCACUAUAAACAACAGAUCUCACAUGGAUGACAUUUACAACAAGGUAAAAGGCUCUAGUAAGGAAUCAGCUUGGAUUGGCUUGAGGAACGGGACUGAGGGUAAGAGUGGAGCGCGCUCAAGGAAAUGGACAGGUGGGCCUGUGUGUGUCAGCAUGGACCGCAAUGGAACAUGGGAAGAGAGAGACUGUGGGGACAAUCAAAUCUUCAUAUGUUAUAACAAAGAUCUCCACAACCUUUCAUUGGUUGAAGAGAAGAAGAACUGGACAGAGGCUUUGAAGCACUGUCAUCUCAGCCACGCAGACCUAGCCAGCGUGAUGAGUGACGCAUACAAUGACAAGAUACUGGAGAAGCUGAGGAAUACCAGUGAAGUUGCAGAGUGGAUCGGCCUUCACCAUCAACCAUGGAGACGGUCAAAUCUCCAGCCACUGUCCUCCAACCUGAAUUAGAGAGCUACUGACCACUGAAACAAAGGAGGACUGUGUUGAAGCUGAAAUGAGUAAUGGUCAACUGCUGCUGCCCUUGAAAUGGACCCCAGUUGACUGAAAAGUCAAGAAACCAUUCCACUGCUAUUUUGUCACUCGGAAACUGACUCUUGUUCUGAAGCAGAUGCCAUGGACUAAUGCACUAAAGCACUGUGUCACUAUUGGGCAUCCACCCUCUCACCUGGCCUCCUUCCACUCUGACGCUGAGGCCUUCUAUGCCAUGGAGAAAGUCCAGAACAGCUCCUCGGACUGGGUGUGGGUCGGGCUGAGGCAGAGCCAGCUGUGGGGGUUCUGGCUGUGGGGAAAUUAAGAGGCACUGGACUACCAGAACUGGAGAAAAGUUCAGGUCCCGAGCCUCCUCUCUCACAACUGUGAAGCCAUGAACAGGGAAAUGGGCUGACAAUGACUGUGCGGAAAAACUAAACUUCCUCUGCUACACAGGUACUGUACUGUGACCUACUGUGUUCCAAUAAUCCAUCAGGCAAAAUGUGUUGCAUGUAUGCUAAAU